CCUACGUGCGGCAGCAGUGAGGAAUAUUGGUCAAUGGGCGCGAGCCUGAACCAGCCAAGUAGCGUGAAGGAUGACUGCCCUACGGGUUGUAAACUUCUUUUAUAAAGGAAUAAAGUGAGGCACGUGUGCCUUUUUGUAUGUACUUUAUGAAUAAGGAUCGGCUAACUCCGUGCCAGCAGCCGCGGUAAUACGGAGGAUCCGAGCGUUAUCCGGAUUUAUUGGGUUUAAAGGGAGCGUAGAUGGGUUGGUAAGUCAGUUGUGAAAGUUUGCGGCUCAACCGUAAAAUUGCAAUUGAUACUGGCAGUCUUGAGUACAGUUGAGGUAGGCGGAAUUCGUGGUGUAGCGGUGAAAUGCUUAGAUAUCACGAAGAACUCCGAUUGCGAAGGCAGCUUACUAAACUGCCACUGACAUUGAUGCUCGAAAGUGUGGGUAUCAAACAGGAUUAGAUACCCUAGUAGUC
rnacentral:rRNA from 1 species